GCUGGGUGUGGUGGCGUGCACCUGUAAUCCCAGCUACCCAGGAGGCUGAGGCAGAAGAAUUGCUUGAACCUAGGAGAUGGAGGUUGCAGUGAGCCGAGAUCACACCACUGUACUCCAGCCUUGGUGACAGAGCAAGAUUCUGUCUAAA
ensembl:misc_RNA Metazoa_SRP Metazoan signal recognition particle RNA